AAUGCCGGGCAAUAACCGAUAAUGUCUCUUCCUUCAAGGGUUGAGAAGAAAGGUGCAAACCGCUUUGAGACGGGCUUAUCUCCUAUCACGGCAGUUGGUAAGGUAACGGCUUACCAAACCUACGACGGGUAGCUGGUCUGAGAGGACGGUCAGCCACAUUGGGACUGAGACACGGCCCAGACUCCUACGGGAGGCAGCAGCCGGGAAUAUUCGGCAAUGGGCGAAAGCCUGACCGAGCGACACCGCGUGAGCGACGAAGGCCUUCGGGUCGUAAAGCUCUUUUAUUUGGGAAGAAUGCAUAGUAAUAUGUUUGACGGUACCAUUUGAAUAAGCCCCAGCUAACUACGUGCCAGCAGCUGCGGUAAUACGUAGGGGGCAAGCGUUAUCCGGAAUCACUGGGCGUAAAGGGUCCGCAGGUGUCCCGUUAAGUUAGAUGUUAAAUCGCAAGGCUCAACCUUGCGGCUGCAUCUAAUACUGACAGGAUAGAGGAUAGGUGACGGAAGUGGAAUUCCUGGUGGAGAGGUAAAAUCCGUAGAUAUCAGGAGGAACACCCGUGGCGUAGGCGGCUUCCGAACCUAUUCCUGACACUCAGGGACGAAAGCUAGGGGAGCAAACAGGAUUAGAUACCCUGGUAGUCCUAGCUGUAAACGAUGAAUACUAGAUAGUGGGUGCUACACCGUACUCACCGUCGUAGCUAACGCGUUAAGUAUUUCGCCUGGGAACUACGAUCGCAAGUUUGGAACUCAAAGGAAUUGACGGGUCCCCGCACAAGCAGCGAGGCAUGUGGCUUAAUUCGAUGCAACACGAAGAACCUUACCUGGACUUGACAUGUUUCUGAAAGGCCGGAGAAACCCGGUCCCUUCCAGUUUACUGGAACAGUUUCACAGGUGGUGCAUGGUUGUCGUCAGCUCGUGUCGUGAGAUGUAAGGUUAAGUCCUUAAACGAGCGUAACCUUUGUCAUUAGUUGCCACCGGUUCGGCCGAGCACUCUAAUGAGACCGCUAGCGACAAGCUAGAGGAAGAUGGAGAUGACGUCAAAUCCUCACGUCCCUUAUGCCCAGGGCCGCACACAUGCGACAAUGGUAGAGACAGCGGGUUGCGACGGGGUAACCCUGAGCUAAUCCAUAAACUCUGCCUCAGUACAGAUCGAGGGCUGAAAUUCGACCUCGUGAAGAUGGAGUUGCU
rnacentral:rRNA from 1 species